GCCGGCGUGGCGGAAUGGCAGACGCAGCAGACUCAAAAUCUGCCGCACGCGAGUGUGUAUGAGUUCAAGUCUCAUCGCCGGUA
rnacentral:tRNA from 1 species